CCUACGGGAGGCAGCAGUGGGGAAUAUUGCACAAAUGGGGGAAACCCUGAUGCAGCCAUGCCGCGUGUGUGAAGAAGGCCUUCGGGUUGUAAAGCACUUUCAGUUGUGAGGAAAAGUUAGUAGUUAAUACCUGCUAGCCGUGACGUUAACAACAGAAGAAGCACCGGCUAACUCCGUGCCAGCAGCCGCGGUAAUACGGAGGGUGCGAGCGUUAAUCGGAAUUACUGGGCGUAAAGCGCACGCAGGCGGUUUGUUAAGCUAGAUGUGAAAGCCCCGGGCUCAACCUGGGAUGGUCAUUUAGAACUGGCAGACUAGAGUCUUGGAGAGGGGAGUGGAAUUCCAGGUGUAGCGGUGAAAUGCGUAGAUAUCUGGAGGAACAUCAGUGGCGAAGGCGACUCCCUGGCCAAAGACUGACGCUCAUGUGCGAAAGUGUGGGUAGCGAACAGGAUUAGAUACCCUGGUAGUCCACACCGUAAACGCUGUCUACUAGCUGUUUGUGACUUUAAGUCGUGAGUACCGAAGCUAACGCGAUAAGUAAACCGCCUGGGGAGACCUUGCCGCAAGGUUAAAACUCAAAKGAAUUGACGG
rnacentral:rRNA from 1 species